rnacentral:rRNA from 1 species
GAUGAACGCUGGCGGCGUGCCUAAUACAUGCAAGUCGAGCGAACGGACGAGAAGCUUGCUUCUCUGAUGUUAGCGGCGGACGGGUGAGUAACAAGUGGAUAACCUACCUAUAAGACUGGGAUAACUUCGGGAAACCGUAGCUAAUACCGGAUAAUAUUUUGAACCGCAUGGUUCAAAAGUGAAAGACGGUCUUGCUGUCACUUAUAGAUGGAUCCGCGCUGCAUUAGCUAGUUGGUAAGGUAACGGCUUACCAAGGCAACGAUGCAUAGCCGACCUGAGAGGGUGAUCGGCCACACUGGAACUGAGACACGGUCCAGACUCCUACGGGAGGCAGCAGUAGGGAAUCUUCCGCAAUGGGCGAAAGCCUGACGGAGCAACGCCGCGUGAGUGAUGAAGGUCUUCGGAUCGUAAAACUCUGUUAUUAGGGAAGAACAUAUGUGUAAGUAACUGUGCACAUCUUGACGGUACCUAAUCAGAAAGCCACGGCUAACUACGUG